rnacentral:lncRNA from 1 species
CGGCUUCCAUUCCAACAGCAACGGCUUCCUGACCAUCGUAGAGAUGGCAGAAACCACGGAUGAGUUUGGCUUUGUAGAGAGAGUCAGCAGCGAUCUCCAUACGACGCAUGAGAACCAUGUCGUUGAAGAAGGACAUGAGUUCGGAGGCGGUGGUUUGGACGGUGGUGGAAGGUGGUUCGCAGUUGUGGGAAGUGAAAGGGAUGGAGGUUUCGACGGUUAGGGUUUCGGUGGAAGAGGAAGAAAUGGAACGGUGUCGUAUGGCGGAGGAGAGGAAGUAGGGUUUGAGUAGAGUGGAUCCGAAUUGAGAGGAUGAGAAUCGCGAUAGAGCCAUUUGGAUUGGAUUGGAUUGGAUUGGAUCUGUUACUGGAAAAUGAGUUUAAUGAACUGAAC